rnacentral:lncRNA from 1 species
AUGAAUCCUCCCACCAGGCCUUCAGGGGAAGAUUCAGAGACUCGGGUUCCAGCCUUUGCUGUGAAGACCCCUUCUUCCCUUUACUUGCUGUGUAUUGCACUCCUGGGCACGUCGGGUGUUGUGAAAACAGUGGGUGAGGAAGUCAGAUUCACCCAGCAGCUCCUCUCAUGGAGCCCUGCAGCCUGCAACCAGUACCUUUCCUCGCGUCCCCUUCAUCCUGUCCUAGGGACCCAAACACGCAGCUCAGAAGACAGUCAGGAGACAGCAGGCUCCAAGAGCCAUCAGAGUAAUUCAGGACACAUAAAAUGCAUCUGUGUCUGUGGGUCAAAUCCAGACCCUACCCAUCCUGGUUCAAGUUGAAAGGACACAGAAGUUCCAAGGGGAUGAGUGACUCGCACGAGGCCACCUGGUAGGUGCAGAGGCAGGGGCUCGGAUCCCAGGGCCUGUUGGAGCAGCGACAUUGAGCUUGUGGCAGGGCUGGGCUGGGCUGGGAGGGCAAUCACUCCGAUGAUGCAGCUGGAAGUGAUGGAGAGAAGUGGGACAGAGAGAAAGAGCUGGUAGUCUAGGGACAGGCCACCGCAGCAGAGGAGUACCUUCUAGAUGAUUAGGAAAGUCAACACACACGUGCACUCACAGGCGAGGAGUAGCAAGAAUGAAACUACUAAAGCUUUGGGACAGAGACAGACCAGAGGGCCAAAAUAAAUAAAUAAAUAAACCUGGAGUCACCAUAAUUGCAGAUAUUAAAUUCAAAGGUAUUUGGGAGCACCUCUAGGUGGCAGGGUCGGUUGGGCGGUUGGGUGUCUGUCUGACUCUUGGUUUUGGCUCAGGUCGUGAUCUCAUAGGCUGUGGGUUCGAGCUUCGUGUCAGGUCUGCACUGGGCACCGAGUCUGCUGAUCCCUCUCCCUCUGCCCCUCCCCACCCAUCCCACCCCACUCCACCCCAUCCCACCUGCCCCCCAUUCAUGCUCACACUCUCUCUCUCUCAAAUAAAUAAUCUUUUUAAAAAAAUUCUAAGGGGGUUAGUACUCAAUAGUGGUUUCAAAAACUUAAAUGAAAAUUUACCAAUUUAAGAAAACACCAACCUGCCCUAAGUAAACCUGAAAAGAGAAACCAAAUCCUGGACUCUCCACCCCCUGGCCUUCCUUCCGGCCACAAUUUCUUUUCAUCAAUAAUCAAAACAGCAUCCUCCAGGAGCAGGGUCUAAGGUGGGAGCCGACUGGCCGUUUCUGUAGCUAGUGUCUCCCUGCAGGGGAGAUAUAUAUAUAUAUCUAGGAGCUAUAUAUUGAAGACAACGUCUGGAAGCUUCUAUUGUGUAGUUGUUGUCCAUCAUGAUAAUCCAGUUUCUGAAAGGGAGUUUUUGAAAGCAGAGUCCGAAGCUGGUCAUCGUCGUCUGAACCAGUUCAUAGCUCUUGACCUUGUAGAUGAGAAUCUGUGGCUUGUCCGAUGACAUGUACUUGAAAACCAUGGACAAGGUCAAUGAGUGGCUUGUUUCAGCCUUGGUUACUGCAGGUCAUGUGGGAUUUAUUAGGCUCCAUGACAUAAGGGAAGAACUUCUUUACUGAUAUCUAUGAUUCAUACAUAAAGUUUGCAAUGAAUUGAUUUUAUGAACCCAAUUCUCCUACGUGAUCAAGUGCAUUUAACAGAAAAGUUCAGUUUCUUGGGAAGAAAUACCUUUUAGGUUGAAUGCAGAAAAAUCUGGAAAUAAACAAUGUCACUACCAUGGGGUAUUCUUAGGAAUGAGUACAUUGUAAGUAGCUUGAUUAAAUAGCCUGGAAAGGUGAAGGAAAGAGAGAAGGAAGGAAGGAAAGGAAGGAAGGGAGGGAGGGAGGGAGGGAGAGAGGAAGGGAAAGGGAGGAAGGGAGGGAGGGAGGGAAAAGAAGGAAGGGAUGGGAAGG